ACGGGCUUCGGUCUGGUGGCGAGUGGCGAACGGGUGAGUAAAGUAUCGGAACGUACCUUUCAGUGGGGGAUAACGUAGCGAAAGUUACGCUAAUACCGCAUAUUCUGUGAGCAGGAAAGCAGGGGAUCGCAAGACCUUGCGCUGAUUGAGCGGCCGAUAUCAGAUUAGCUAGUUGGUGGGGUAAAGGCCUACCAAGGCGACGAUCUGUAGCGGGUCUGAGAGGAUGAUCCGCCACACUGGAACUGAGACACGGUCCAGACUCCUACGGGAGGCAGCAGUGGGGGAAUUUUGGGACAAUGGGGGGCAACCCCUGAUCCAGCCAUGCCGCGUGAGUGAAAGAAGGCCUUCGGGUUGUAAAGCUCUUUCGGCCGGGAAGAAAUCGCAUGGGCUAAUACCCUGUGUGGAUGACGGUACCGGAAUAAGAAGCACCGGCUAACUACGUGCCAGCAGCCGCGGUAAUACGUAGGGUGCGAGCGUUAAUCGGAAUUACUGGGCGUAAAGCGUGCGCAGGCGGUUUAGUAAGACAGGCGUGAAAUCCCCGGGCUCAACCUGGGAACUGCGCUUGUGACUGCUAAGCUAGAGUAC
rnacentral:rRNA from 1 species